CCCUCCCCUCCCCUCCCCAUCCAAAAGUUCCCUCUUUCAUCCCUCCUACCCACACUCAUACGUUCCCCAGCCCAGCUCUGUGCCUCCAACCAGCUGUUCGAUGAGACAACAUGGGGAGUUUCAGAGAUACAGCAGGGAACAGGCCCUUCUGCAGCCACCCAGCAACACACCCGACCCCAGCCUAAUCACAGGACAGUUUACAAUGACAGAUUAACUUACCAGCCGGUACACCCUUAUAAUGUGGGGGGAAACCGGAGCACCCAGAGGAAACCCACACAUUCCACAGGGAGGACAUACAAACUCUUUCAAUGGCUAAUACAAACGUUAAGUUCCUCAGUGUUAUUACUUCAGAGGGCCUGUGAAAUGGUCCAGCUCGUAAGGGCCGUUACAAAGAAAGCAUAGCGGCACCUCUGCUUAUGAGCUUGCAAAGAUUUGCCAUGACACCUGAAGUUUUGACAAACUUCCAAAGAUGUGUGGUGGAGAGUGUAUUGACUGCAUCACAGCCUGGAAACACCAAUGCCCUUAAACGGGAAAUCCAACAAGAAGGAGGGGAUAUGGCCCAGUCCAUCGCGGGUAAGGCCCUCUCCACCACUGAGCCGGUCUCCAGGAAAGACUGGCACUGGAAUCCCCCCCACAGAGCAUGAUUUCUUCCAGUUGCUGCCACAAGGAAGGAGGUACAGGAGCCUCAGGAUCCACACCACCAGGUUCAGGAACAGUUAAUACCCCUCAACCAUCAGGCUCUUGAACCAAAGGGGAUAACUUCACUCAACUUUGCUUGUCCCAUCAUUGAAAUGUUCCCACAACCAACUGACUUUCAAGGACUCUUUCACUCAUGUUCUCAAUAUCUGUUGCUUAUUUAUUGAUGAUUAUUAUUUCUUACUUUCAAUUGUUGCUGCGUUUGUUGUCUUCUGCUCUCUGGUUGAACGCCAAACUGGUGUGGUCUUUCAUUGAUUCUGGCAUGGUUCUUAUUCUAUUAUAAAUUUAUUGACUAUGCCCGUAAGAAAGGGAAUUUCGGCGUUUCACAUGGUGACAUAUAUGUACCUUGAUAAUAAAUUUACUUUGAACUUUGAAUAAGGGGGCAUAAUUUUAAGGCGAUUGGAGGAAAACUAUUACCUUUGUUAGACAUUAUUUUCUUUUUAUAAUAUAUUGACUUAACAUGAUUAUAUUUUAAUUUCAUAUAUGUCCUGCUACUACUUUCAUUUUUAUUGGAACCUGUGUCCGGAAAAGUCUGAAUUAAAUACAAAAAUUAUAAAACAA